rnacentral:rRNA from 1 species
AGCAGCCGCGGUAAUUCCAGCUCCAAUAGCGUAUAUUAAAGUUGUUGCAGUUAAAAAGCUCGUAGUUGAAUUUCAGGCCUGGCUGGACGGUCCGCCCUUCGGGUGAGUACUGUCUGUGGUCGGGUCCUACCUUCUGGCGAAGCGUCAUGGCCUUAACCGGCCGUGGCGGGGAACCAGGACUUUUACUGUGAAAAAAUUAGAGUGUUCAAAGCAGGCAAUCGCUUGGAUACAUUAGCAUGGAAUAAUGGAAUAGGACGAUGGUUCUAUUUGUUGGUUUCUAGGACCGUUGUAAUGAUUAAUAGGGAUAGUUGGGGGCAUUAGUAUUCAAUUGUCAGAGGUGAAAUUCUUGGAUUUAUUGAAGACUAACUACUGCGAAAGCAUUUGCCAAGGAUGUUUUCAUUAAUCAAGAACGGAAGUUAGGGGAUCGAAGACGAUCAGAUACCGUCGUAGUCUUAACCAUAAACUAUGCCGACUAGGAAUCGGGCGAUGUUGACAAAAUGACGCGCUCGGCACCUCAUGG